rnacentral:rRNA from 1 species
UACAGAGGGUGCGAGCGUUAAUCGGAAUUACUGGGCGUAAAGCGUGCGCAGGCGGUUCGUUGUGUCGGUGGUGAAGUCCCCGGGCUUAACCUGGGAAUGGCCAUGGAAACUGGCGAACUGGAGUGCGGCAGAGGGGGGUGGAAUUCCGCGUGUAGCAGUGAAAUGCGUAGAUAUUCGGAAGAACACCAGUGGCGAAGGCGGCUCACUGGCCCGUUACCGACGCUCAGGCGCGACAGCGUGGGG